rnacentral:rRNA from 1 species
UACGGAGGGCGCAAGCGUUGUUCGGAAUCAUUGGGCGUAAAGCGCGUGUAGGCGGCUUGGCAAGUCGAGUGUGAAAGCCCGGGGCUCAACCCCGGAAGGUCGCUCGAAACUGCCUCGCUAGAGUCCCGGAGAGGAAGGCGGAAUUCCCGGUGUAGAGGUGAAAUUCGUAGAUAUCGGGAGGGACACCAGCGGCGAAGGCGGCCUUCUGGACGGUGACUGACGCUGAGACGCGAAAGCGUGGGGAGCAAACAGG